UCCCAUAUGGUCUAGUGGUUAGGCUUCCUGGUUUUCACUCAGGUAGCCUGGGUUCAAUUCCCAGUGUGGGAA